rnacentral:rRNA from 1 species
UACAGAGGUCUCAAGCGUUGUUCGGAUUCAUUGGGCGUAAAGGGUGCGUAGGUGGCGCCGUAAGUCGGGUGUGAAACCUCCAGCUCAACCUGGAGACGCCACUCGAUACUGCCAUGGCUAGAGUCCGGUAGGGGACCACGGAAUUCCUGGUGUAGCGGUGAAAUGCGCAGAUAUCAGGAGGAACACCGGUGGCGAAGGCGGUGGUCUGGGCCGGCACUGACGCUGAGGAGCGAAAAGCCGUGGGGUAGCAAAACAGG